rnacentral:tRNA from 1 species
CGAAAACGAUGGGACUUGAACCCACAGUCCCCAACGUGACAGGUUGGUGCUUUAACCAGUUAAGCUACGUCUCC